AUUGAACGCUGGCGGCAUGCUUUACACAUGCAAGUCGAACGGUAACAGGCCGCAAGGUGCUGACGAGUGGCGAACGGGUGAGUAAUGCAUCGGAACGUGCCCAGUCGUGGGGGAUAACUACUCGAAAGAGUAGCUAAUACCGCAUACGAUCUAUGGAUGAAAGCGGGGGACCGUAAGGCCUCGCGCGAUUGGAGCGGCCGAUGUCAGAUUAGGUAGUUGGCGGGGUAAAGGCUCACCAAGCCAACGAUCUGUAGCUGGUCUGAGAGGACGACCAGCCACACUGGGACUGAGACACGGCCCAGACUCCUACGGGAGGCAGCAGUGGGGAAUUUUGGACAAUGGGCGCAAGCCUGAUCCAGCAAUGCCGCGUGCAGGAAGAAGGCCUUCGGGUUGUAAACUGCUUUUGUACGGAACGAAACGGCUCUGGUUAAUACCCGGGGCUAAUGACGGUACCGUAAGAAUAAGCACCGGCUAACUACGUG
rnacentral:rRNA from 1 species